AUGGCGAGGAGAUCUACUUAUGGACCCUUCUUGAUGGCAAGGAAGAUUGCAGUACAUGGCCAAGCGAAUCGGACUAAGUCGACUCAGACCAGCCACCUCCCUUGUGGUAAUGCUUUUUUCUGCACCCUCGGCGAGCAAUUUGCGGCCACCAAUGGGAAGAAUAGAGGGGAAAUGAGGAGAAAAACCAAGAAGGUCAAUGUAAGAUCGGCCUUCAUCAUUGAUAAUAGCACCCACCGCGAUGCGUCUAUAUGCAGAAACUCUUUUCUCCAUAAGAUAUGUAGUGUUAAAAACCGUAAUGAGACACAACUGGAGCCAAUGAUGUUAUCGGAUCCCACUGAUUGUUUUCCUGACCGGAAAAGAUGUGCUGUGCAUCGUGUACGCAACAUGAUGCAAAUAUUUUCAUUAAAGUUGGCUAAAGUUCCUGUGAUCACAAGCUCGGUACAACUAUAUGGAUAUAUAGCUGUACGAGAUUGUCUGGAUUCAUUGCUAAAUUAUAUUGUCAAUCGUAGCAGGGACGAUCCCAUUACGGUGCAGCAGGGUUCUCUCAUUGAGAUGACUGGCCCUAAGAGGGGAAUCACAAUGACCUCUCCUGUUCCUAGUUGA
rnacentral:rRNA from 1 species